rnacentral:rRNA from 1 species
UACGUAGGGUGCAAGCGUUAAUCGGAAUUACUGGGCGUAAAGCGUGCGCAGGCGGCUUUGCAAGACAGAUGUGAAAUCCCCGGGCUUAACCUGGGAGCUGCAUUUGUGACUGCAUGGCUGGAGUGCGGCAGAGGGGGAUGGAAUUCCGCGUGUAGCAGUGAAAUGCGUAGAUAUGCGGAGGAACGCCGAUGGCGAAGGCAAUCCCCUGGGCCUGCACUGACGCUCAUGCACGAAAGCGUGGGGAGCAAACAGG